UACGAAGGGAGCUAGCGUUGUUCGGAAUUACUGGGCGUAAAGCGCACGUAGGCGGAUACUUAAGUCAGGGGUGAAAUCCCGGGGCUCAACCCCGGAACUGCCUUUGAUACUGAGAGUCUUGAGUCCGGGAGAGGUGAGUGGAACUGCGAGUGUAGAGGUGAAAUUCGUAGAUAUUCGCAAGAACACCAGUGGCGAAGGCGGCUCACUGGCCCGGUACUGACGCUGAGGUGCGAAAGCGUGGGGAGCAAACAGG
rnacentral:rRNA from 1 species